rnacentral:tRNA from 1 species
GUAAAUAUAGUUUAAAAAAACAUUAGACUGUGAAUCUAAAAACAGAAGCUCGCCACCUUCUUAUUUACC